UGGGGAAUUUUGGACAAUGGGCGAAAGCCUGAUCCAGCCAUGCCGCGUGCAGGAUGAAGGCCUUCGGGUUGUAAACUGCUUUUGUACGGAACGAGAAGACUCUGGUUAAUACCUGGGGUCCAUGACGGUACCGUAAGAAUAAGCACCGGCUAACUACGUGCCAGCAGCCGCGGUAAUACGUAGGGCGCAAGCGUUAAUCGGAAUUACUGGGCGUAAAGCGUGCGCAGGCGGUUAUAUAAGACAGAUGUGAAAUCCCCGGGCUCAACCUGGGAACUGCAUUUGUGACUGUAUAGCUAGAGUACGGCAGAGGGGGAUGGAAUUCCGCGUGUAGCAGUGAAAUGCGUAGAUAUGCGGAGGAACACCGAUGGCGAAGGCAAUCCCCUGGGCCUGUACUGACGCUCAUGCACGAAAGCGUGGGGAGCAAACAGGAUUAGAUACCCUGGUAGUCCACGCCCUAAACGAUGUCAGCUGGUUGUUGGGUCUUCACUGACUCAGUAACGAAGCUAACGCGUGAAGUUGACCGCCUGGGGAGUACGGCCGCAAGGUUG
rnacentral:rRNA from 1 species